rnacentral:rRNA from 1 species
GACGAACCGAGCGAACGUUGUUCGGAAUCACUGGGCUUAAAGGGCGCGUAGGCGGGUGCUCAAGUCUGUGGUGAAAUCCUCCGGCUCAACCGGAGAACUGCCAUGGAUACUGGGUGUCUCGAGGGUGGUAGGGGUAUGCGGAACUAUCGGUGGAGCGGUGAAAUGCGUUGAUAUCGAUAGGAACUCCGGUGGCGAAGGCGGCAUACUGGACCACAUCUGACGCUGAGGCGCGAAAGCCAGGGGAGCGAAC